CCUGUCAGCCUAUUUAAAGGGUUUCACGUCGCUGCAUUGAGAGGAGAAAGCUGCACCGCUGCACACCGCCGACCUCACAAACAACCUCAUACGCUCUCUGCGCAUCUUCACAAAACUUCAUCACUUAAGAACAACACUGAGGAGACAUCAUGGUUGAAGGAACCGAGCAAUCUGUUCUUAAGAUUAAAGGUGGGAAAUAUGUGACAAUCUCGAAAUUGAAGAACGGCGAAGUGAAGCUGUGCGCUAAGGAUAAUCAGCAAGCUCCCACAGCCUACGUGCAGACACGGGAACUAAACAAUAAAAAGCAGAUAGCUUUCAUUUUCAAGCGUACAAACAGUUUCUAUCUCCCAAAGGUCGAUGGAACAAAACUCAUGUUGGAUAGGAUUGCCAGCAGUACCAUCCCUCCCAAGUCUUCUUUCACAGAAAGUCAUUGGUUUGAGAUGAUAAACCCAAAAGCUGGUGAAUAUCACUACCUUCAGUCUGUGGGAAGCAGUCAGUUCCUCGCAUUGGAUUCCAAUAAAAGCACUGUCCGCCUCUGUGCAGUCAUGGAGGAGGGAGUUCAGGUCACAGCUAGAACCACAGCGUAGAGGUCUCCAUCAUAAGCUGAGCUUCAUCCUCUACAUUACAAGAUUUCCAUAUUCGGCGAGAUGCCGUCCUCUGGACCAAGCAGAGAGGGGGGUUGUUUAGUAAGCCUGUCAUUCUUGGGUAGCUAAGUGUCUUCUUGUUAAACUUAUUAAUAGGGUGCUCUUGCAAUUUUGUACUAUAUAUUCAGAAAGUUGGGGGACUUGGAAAAGACAGACUGAGACAGAAUGGUCAAAUUUGAGGCAGCGUUGCUCGAGAUAUCUAAUCACCAGAAUGGGUCAAGCUCAAAAUACUCCUGUACUAUCAUUUGAUUUAAUCUGUUCAACCUUUGUGGUAGAUUCUGUUAAACAUGUGUUUCAAAGGCCCAGUUUGUAAAUUUCUGUUAAAACUUUGAAAAGCUCCCAGAUGAUAUUACCAAACAAAUUAUGUUCUCACACUCCUCCCGAGCGUUAGAGAACAAUAUACAACUGUUUUCAAUCCUGACUAGUUUUCCACAUGGCUAGUAAUCUGAUAUUUAUUUGUAAAAUUGUCCCUUUAAUGUGAAAGUGCUUCUUAAAUGUCUUUAAUGUGUUGGUAUUUAAGUGGGGAAGGGGAUGUUGACUACUGUAUGCCUUUAGCCCCUUUUACACAGCCUCUAUUAGGCGAAAAGAUUGCGCUGUUAUGCCGCCUCGCCAUCCUGUAUAAAAGGCACAGUUUUGGAUUGGGGUGAGAGAGUUGUCUCACUUUUUAGCAGGACGGGAUCAUGGGUGUGACAAGUUUGACAUUUUGACUGCAUGUUAUGCGUGAAACCCAUUAUGGGAAAUUAAAAAAAUAAUUUAACACAAAGAAAAAAGAAAAUGAAGAAGAACAGCAGCCAUAAAAGUUCACAAAUUAGGAAAAUAAUGAGAUUCAGGAACUCCUUACCCUUGGAGCAGAGGACAAGAUCAGCCGCUUUAUCAGAGAGACAGGAAAUUAUUGUUAUUGCCUCGUGGCGUCAUUGUAACUGUUUAUGAAGCUCUGCCAAUAUGUUAAAUGUCACGCUAGAGGCUGAUGCUGUUGUGUCAAAUGUCACGCGUCUUUUGAUUCUAAGAUGCCAGAUGAUUUCAUCUUUAUUUUAUUCUGUGUAAAAAUGAAAAGAUGGCAUAAAGAAGGGACUUCAUAGCAACUCUAUAUUGCGAUCUUUGUGUAAAAGGGGCCCGUGAAGCAGAUUUAAGGUGUUUGGUUUGGCCACUCUCUACUGAAACAGUCUGGGGUUCUUUAAUGCAACAAUGUUUAGGAUUCAGUACAGUGAUUGACUGUCAUUAAUGCUGACCCUGCGUUAUCAAAACCAUACCAGUUUACAAGCCUUUUUCUGACCCUGACUUAGCAGUUAAAUAUUUUACUAUAGGGGUACUCAAAGUUUAGAUGAAUAAGUGAGAAUUUAGGGAGCUACCAUAUAAUUGAGGGUCGCCGUUGCCGUGCAACAAGUAGCUUUCUACAAGCUGUCGUCCCUAGCCUGACAGGUGCUCGUUAGGGGGGCGCAUUUUGAUGCAGUCUCCUAGCAGUGUGUGAAAUGUAAGCUACUGAAAGCAAAAGCAUUGAAAUAAGCAGCAAAUGAUUAACAUACAACACAUGCAUUUCACGACAUGUUCAGAAAAUGUCUCCGAGGGCCAGCAUUGGUCCGUGGACUGCACUUUGAGCAACAAUUCUGUUGAGAUAAUCAUUUUUUUAUUUAUGUAGUUUGAUGAUGUAAAAAAGUAGGUUUAACAAUCAAGGCAGACUCAUGCUACAUCUACAACAGCUAAAUUUAUCCAGACGCAUAAGAAUUGCUGUUUAAUGCAUGUCAAUGGUUGCCACAUGCCUUUCAAUGUCUUGUCUUGCUGGCACUGUAAAACAAAAACGUAUAUAU